UGUCUUUCCAAGCCCCGGCUUGUGGCCUCGUCUGGAGCAAGAGACACUGCAGCAGGCUGUCACUGCUACUCUGAGAUCCGGAGAUACCAGAUCAGUGAUUCCAGAAGAGCUGGAGGUCAGAAACAACUGGUUCACUUGGCCUGGAUCUCCUUGGUGGCUGCAGGGUGAUCUCCCAGCUCAUCUCUUUCCAUGGGAAUCCCCACAGCCAAAACAGAGAACUCUGCAGAAAAGCACUUCAGACCUUCCCUGCUCCAAUGCAAUGGGCUCAUCCAGAGGAAGCAGAGAGAGAAGGGUCAGUGGGCCCACAACCAGCACCAAGGAGCAGUGGUGCUGCUCCACGGGCAAACCAGCUCCAAAUAACAUUUGCCAAGACUUUCCUGACUCCAUUCCUGGAGGCUGCCCUGAAGCCUGCCCAAUCAUGGUGUCAGGGAAUGCUGCUGUCCAGAACAUUCCUGCAUGCUAAUGUACAUGAGCUGUUACUUCACACUUGCAUUGCUAUCCUAACUCUUGUUCAUAUUAAUUCUGACAUCCUUCUUGGUAAUUUUCCCCUCCCAGUUUGACCAUGUUUAGUUCUCUCUAAUCUUUCUGUGUAGACCAAUCCUUCCCAGUGCUAUGAAUAAAUAAAAGCCUUCUGUUCUCAUCAACAAAAUGGUCUUUUAACAGUUGCAAGAACAACACAGCAAUCACUUGGGGGGGAAAAAAAAAGAAAAAACAAAACAAAAGCAGCUAAUAUUUGAUGCAUUUAAAAAUAUCUGCUCCAGCUAUUUUCUACAUUUUAGAAAUAAAUCCUUCAUUAAACAGAGAAAGCAGUGAGAAAAUUAAUGGAGAGAAGCACCAGUGGAUGUCUGAGAGGGACCUGCUAACCCAUCAGAAAUGCUCACCACACACAAAGCAGCAGCAGCAGCAGGGCUGCCAAAGCAAGCUGAACUUCAGUUAGAAACAUCUAAGGAAUGUGAAUAAGCUGUUAGAGCU